rnacentral:rRNA from 1 species
UGUGAAGAAGGCCUUCGGGUUGUAAAGCACUUUUGUCCGGAAAGAAAACCAUCGCCCUAAUAUGGUGGUGGGAUGACGGUACCGGAAGAAUAAGCACCGGCUAACUACGUGCCAGCAGCCGCGGUAAUACGUAGGGUGCGAGCGUUAAUCGGAAUUACUGGGCGUAAAGCGUGCGCAGGCGGUCUGUUAAGACCGAUGUGAAAUCCCCGGGCUUAACCUGGGAACUGCAUUGGUGACUGGCAGGCUUUGAGUGUGGCAGAGGGAGGUAGAAUUCCACGUGUAGCAGUGAAAUGCGUAGAGAUGUGGAGGAAUACCGAUGGCGAAGGCAGCCUCCUGGGCCAACACUGACGCUCAUGCACGAAAGCGUGGGGAGCAAACAGGAUUAGAUACCCUGGUAGUCCACGCCCUAAACGAUGUCAACUAGUUGUUGGGGAUUCAUUUCCUUAGUAACGUAGCUAACGCGUGAAGUUGACCGCCUGGGGAGUACGGUCGCAAGAUUAAAACUCAAAGGAAUUGACGGGGACCCGCACAAGCGGUGGAUGAUGUGGAUUAAUUCGAUGCAACGCGAAAAACCUUACCUACCCUUGACAUGGUCGGAAUCC